GUAUGGAUCAAGAACAAACAUAUCAAGUUCGUUCUUCUAGUGAAGCUCCUAGUGAGAUAUGUGAAGGAAAUUGAAGCCAUUCAGUUGCAGUAAUAAUUUUAUUUUUAUCCAUUUAGUCAGUAAUUUAUAAUAAAGAAAACCAUCAAAGAAAAACACAUUUACAAUAGAAAAUGAUGUUGGUCUGAAUGGCACAAGUGAAGCCUUACCGAGUGGAAAUAAGUGCAACAUGGUCUUGAGUCCCAUAAGAUUUUGCUGGUACAAACCUUCUCUAAAGCUACCUCCUUUAAACCUUAUGACCUAGGAUUAAGACUAUAGAAAAUAUUAACAUCGAACAUCUAGAUUUUGUAUUUAUACGUGAAGAUUAAGAAGAAUGGAAAGAAACUUGUUUGUUUUUUCUUUCUUCGAAUGAAUGGAGGUUAAGUGCAUACCAUUGAGUUUAAUUUGUAUUAAAUUACUUGAAAGGUUAUGUAUGAUUUAGAAAACUAACUUUUCACUAUAUUUCUUUGUUGCAUUAAUUAAGAAGAUUGAGUUUAAUUAAAUAAUAAAUGAAUUGUGAUGCAGGAUAAAUGACAUAUGGUUGAAUUUUUUACAUAGGCCAUGAAAAAUGUAAAUUUUAUUAUAUUAUAACUUAUAAAAUCUUUGAACUUAAAUGAAAAAUCUAUGGUUAUUUUAGGUGGUUUUAUUUUUUGAAAUCUUGAACUUUAAUGAAGAAUCCA
rnacentral:lncRNA from 1 species